rnacentral:lncRNA from 1 species
GUGCAGUCAAAUUGCCGGCUGACAGGGACCUGACACAUCCAAUUAAAUGUCUUAGAAGGCCCCGCUGGCACGAAAUUGCUCUUUAUAUUUUGUGAAGUACUUUAUCGUUACUAUUUUAUUUUUUCUCUCCCUAGUUGGGACUGUGACCCGCCCCCUCCCCUGGCGAUAGGGGUGGGGUCGGGGAUCCUUGAUGGAUCCCUCCAAAGCUUACCAGUCCUCAAGUCAGCAGACCAGACAACUUUAGGAGCUCUGUUGGGGGCAGGCUGGGGACUCAGGGAGCCCUAGGAUCAGAGCACUCCCUUCGCCAUGUCCCAGACCUGAGCCAGCAAUCGCCAAAGCUGGCAUUAGGUUUCCGUGGGUUCCUGCGGUGGCUAGGAUUAAAGACUUAAUACAAGUCUUCUCCCCAACACCUUCCCUCCCUCCCGGUCUUACGCAGCAGCGCUGGGGCUUCGGGCCGGCCUCGGCUGCGGGGCCUCUUGUGGGGUGAACAGAGCUCUCCCUUGCUAAGACUAUUUUGUUAAUAAAUGGAAUACUUGGCUAUAUUC